AUUAUGAAUAAUAUACAUAUACACCAUGUUGCAUAAAUUUUUAGUCAUUUAAUGAUUCUUUCAACAUCUCAAUACAGAGUAAAUUCAUUACAUUUGAUUUUUGCUGAUUUAUCAAUAAUAAUUACAACUUAAAAAUACAAUUGUCGUAUAAAAUUCUCCUAGUUUCAAGUCCUAAAAACUUCUAAACUUAUUAUCUGAUUUUGACAAUACUUCACUGCUAUAUUCUUCAAGUCAAUACUUUUCUUACGUGUACACAGAUGACAGCAUUGGCCUGUUGUUUUAACAAAGAAUGUAAAAAUGGCAUAAUGCAGAAAAAGCAAAAUGUGUGAUGUAUGAAAAAUUAGAAAGUGUGUUGCCUGAGGGAGUAAUUUUCCAACAGAAUGGACUCCAUUGAUCUCACCAUUUGAUUGGACAUUUAAUGACAAUUGAUGUGGUAGUCCCACAGAGUAAAGAAAUAUAUACAUCCAGAAUGGUAGCUGGCAUUAGUAUUAUGAAGCUGACUUGGAACAGGAAGUGAUGCCAUAUUUUAGGGCAGAAGCGAAAGUUCUGUACUUUUUGUCCCACUUUUCACCAGUAAGUGUAUAAUAUAUUUUUUUAAAUUACUAUAUAUGUAUGAUACCCAAUACUCUGAGAAUACCCAAUACCAUGUUCUGAGAUUUUUUUACAUUAUUUUAAAUUAUUCAUUGUAGAUUUUCUUCUGAGCUGAUAUUAAAAAGAAAAUGGAUUGUUACAAAAAGAACUAAAUGGCAACAAACCCAGUAGUCUGUUCUUUGUUUGGUUCAUUUUAGCAGUGAUUGCUAUUAUUUAUCAUCAACUGCACACAAGAUCCUAAGAAAGAAUGCAGUUCCCCAAUAUUUGAAUUUCCUGAUCAUCUGAAAAAGAAAAAUGAAAGCAGAUGGGUUCUUAUAAGAAAUAGGCUUAAUGACAAUGAACAAAAUAUUUGUGACAUUGUUAUAGAAGCAUCAAGCUGUCUUCAAAUGCUGCCAUUGAUGCUACAAAUUCAGCAUAUUAGUGGACCACACUUAUGCUAUAAUUGAAUCUCCAAGAAAAAUAAAAAAAUAAUUGCUUCAACAAGUGGAAAGAAAUAUGGCACUUCAGAAAAAAUUAAAAACAUUACAACAAUGCAAGAGGCAAAAAAAAACAAACAGUAAAAUAGAAACCCUGAAGGAAGCCAUACAAGAUGAAUUGUUGCAAGCAUUUUUAAUUUUUAAUUACUUUUUUAUUGACUUUAAUUUUACAACAAAACAAAAAGAAACAAAGAAAAAUAAUUACAUCAUUGAGGCAGGACUGGAGUUGCUGGAGGAAUGUUCAGAUUCCUCCAGCAACCCCACUUAUGGCACUCCAAUUAAUGCAGGCUGUCCAACAUUGGUUGUUUUUCCUAAUUAAAAACAGUGCAGGCACCCCAUGGAUCCUAUGGUUACUUUUUCCAACUUUCCUAUCUCACUUCAUUUUCCCUCUUCCCUUUCACUUCUCCAUU